rnacentral:rRNA from 1 species
UACGUAGGGGGCAAGCGUUGUCCGGAUUAUUGGGCGUAAAGAGCGUGUAGGCGGCCAGGUAGGUCUGCUGUGAAAACUCGAGGCUUAACCUCGAGCUGUCGGCGGAAACCAUCUGGCUAGAGUCCGGAAGAGGAGAAUGGAAUUCCCGGUGUAGCGGUGAAAUGCGCAGAUAUCGGGAAGAACACCCGUGGCGAAGGCGGUUCUCUGGGACGGUACUGACGCUGAGGUGCGAAAGCGUGGGGAGCAAACAGGG